CCUACGGGCGGCAGCAGUGGGGAAUAUUGGGCAAUGGGCGCAAGCCUGACCCAGCAACGCCGCGUGAAGGAAGAAGGCUUUCGGGUUGUAAACUUGUUUUCUCAGGGACGAAGCAAGUGACGGUACCGGAGGAAUAAGCCACGGCUAGCUACGUGCCAGCAGCCGCGGUAAUACGUAGGUGGCAAGCGUUAUCCGGAUUUACUGGGUGUAAAGGGCGUGUAGGCGGGAAAGCAAGUCAGAUGUGAAAACCAUGGGCUCAACCUGUGGCCUGCAUUUGAAACUGUUUUUCUUGAGUACUGGAGAGGCAGACGGAAUUCCUAGUGUAGCGGUGAAAUGCGUAGAUAUUAGGAGGAACACCAGUGGCGAAGGCGGUCUGCUGGACAGCAACUGACGCUGAGGCGCGAAAGCGUGGGGAGCAAACAGGAUUAGAUACCCGAGUAGUC
rnacentral:rRNA from 1 species